AAAUUCCCCCAUAUACUUUCCCUCAUACUUUGAGGAAUAGGAAUCUCUUCCAGAUGAAAUGAAGGAACGACUUGACACAGUUCGCUUUAAUGGGGUGACAAAAUGAAUCACGACUCCUCCAAGUAUCCAUCACGACCAAAAAGGUGACCACAAAUGAUCUGUGAACCACUAUAUAUUGAUUACCCCUGUACUACAAGUGUCGGAUUUAAUGUUCAAAAGGGCGCCUUGGACAGCUGCAGCCUUAACUCUUCUUUGAUAGAUUUUAAUGGUGAAAUAUUGAUUUCUGUCUGGUCAAGGUCUACUGGUAGGGGCCAAAGUCAUUUGUUGGGCAGAGCUGGACACCCGGUUUGCGAGUCACAAUCAAUCAUGUUGGCACAGUGCGCCAAAAAAGGGAGGAAAGGGAAGAAAAAAGUGCAGACCGAACAGGGACCCUCGAAUCCCCUAACGCUGAGGUCCUGAUAGAAAGGUGAAGGGGGUGCAAAUGGAAUAGGCUGAUUUUUAUG
ensembl:lncRNA